ACGGCCAUGUCACAUUCAAAACACCGGUCUUGAACAAUCACCGAAGUUAAGCAAUGUCAGGCCCGGUCAGUACUUGGGAGGGUGACCACUUGGGAACACCUGUAGGCUAUUUC